GUUGAUGUGUUGUCCAAUGUGUCCUUAGAUUCUUGUUUACAGACGAAAACAUGGAAACCUUGGUGUUCUCGAGUGCUUAUGAUGGGACCACAUGUGUAAUAUGUAACACUGCAUCAGGAAAGUUAAUUGGAACUGACUGAUGGUCGUGCUAAAAUCCAGAUGGCAGCAGAACAACUGAAUGAUAAGGACGUUAUCUCAAGGAUCAACAUGUGCACCAACACAUUUAAGUAUCAUCAAAACCCGAAAGCCUGUUAUUCCUCCUACAUUCUGAAGUCGAAGAGAUCGGAAAAAACUAAUAGUGAGCCAGAACCACCUGUGGAUAUGGAAGAGGGAGAAACAGGUGAUAGUUAUAAGGCUCCAAAAAGGCGGAAGAAGAGUAUGUCUAGCGGCAUGGGCACAGAACGGAAGUGUGUACCGGGUAUUGUAUCGCAUCUCGGAGUCUGACAGAGCAGCAUUGUUUGUAGAUGCUUUAAACUUUAAUAACCAUGAAGUUAAGACUAGAUGUGUUUUUCUGGAUACAGCUGGUGAUGUGUUUGCUGCAGAUGUCUUGUAUCAUGCGAACUGCUUGCGACAGUACUUGCUAAAAUAUAGAAGACAAGUCGAUGCAUUGUUUGAAAAUAUCGAGCGAUCAAACCAGGCAGCCACAAUUGACUUAAAUUGCAAACGUGUGUUUGAUAGUUUCAAUUUUAAAAAUAGCAGCUACAGUGUUACCCACAUUCGUGAUCUAGUCAAUGAUAACUUGGACAUAGAUAACCACAUCGAUAACAGACGUACAAAAGUCCUUCUGCUCAAGUACUUCAGGGACACGAUCUGCUUCACUUAUCCUGAUGAUAGACGAGUAUCGCAGAUGGUUUAUUCGAGCUCUCUCUUACAGGGUAACAUUUUAGUACAGUACGUACAUAGUGCAAUUUAGUCCUGUUUGAUGCAAGUCUAGUUAUGAUCAUUUCCUCCCUUCUCUCCCUUUCUUUAUAGUUCUUCGUUAUGACUGACUGUUGUGGUACCUGCUUCCUUUUCUGCCAUAUUUACAUUCCUUUCUUCUUAAUCACUGCUUUUCCUCCUCCUUUUCCAAGUGGAACUGGUCGUGUUAUUUCCUUUUGCAAUGCACUUUUUGCUAGUUUAUCAGCACACUCGUUCCCUUUUACCCUCUCAUGUGCCUUCACCCAGCAGAACUGUACAUCCACACCACCUCUGUGAAGUCUUAGCAAACUAUGGUUAAACUCAAUAAGUAGAUCUUCUCCGAGGGUUGUUGUUUACUGUAGGCUUUCAAAAUUGAGUCUGUGCAUACCAGGACCUUAUCAGGUCUGACCUCAUUGUAACCCAGUUAUAGCUGCCAGCAUUUCUGCUCUAUAUACAGAAAACUGGUUUGACGCUCUUUUGGAGAUACACAUUUAAAUACAGCCCAACUCCCACACACUCUUGUUUGUACCAUCUGUGUAGAUUUUGAGAUAAUUGUAAUAACUCUUCCUCAGGUUCAUAUUUGUUUUGAUUCCCACUUCAUUAAUUUGCCAUUCCCUUUUCUACAAUACUCACGUAUACAGUAUAUUUGCUUCUGGGAAGAGCUGUGAACUCUAAGUUCUCCUUUCCAUAUGUCCUUGUUUUUUCUUCCCUCGUCGACCCAAACCCACGCCUCUUGAACUUGGAAUAUUCCCAACAAUCGUGUAGCUUUUUGUUUGUAACGUGUUCUUCCUCUCUUCCUUUUAACCUGACCCAGUACGGAAGUGUGAGUUUCUCACUUCUUAACUCCAGCGGUGUCUCUCCUGCUUCUAUUAGUACUGCAUUAAUAGCGGUGGACUUAAUAGCUCCAAUACAUAAACGUGAUGCUUUAAAUUGUAGUCUAUCCACUUUUUGCAGGGAUGUUUUUGCCGCCGCUCUAUAUAUUAUACACCCAUAGUCUAUUGUUGACCUAAUAAUUGCCCUAUGAAUGUCAGUUAAUGCCUGUUUGUCUGCCCCCCAGUCGCAUCCAGCCACAGCUCGUAAUAGAUUAAUAAAUCUUUAGUUUUUUUAACAUGUAUUUUCCAUGUAUAUUUAUAUAUAUAUAUAUAUAAACAUAUAACCAGGUAUUUGAAUUCAUACAUCUUGUUCAUCGGCUGAAUUUUGUAUCUGUGCUUUUGACCAUAACACGACAGCUUAAUUGGUCAUUUUGUUUUCACGAUCAUUUCAAAACCCCGCCAAAUCAUCCCAAAUUUCAUCUUCCUAGCCAAACACUAUCAGAAGUUGCCCAAUAGCGUGGAAAGCAGCCCAAUCUGGCAACACAGCCGUCACUUGGUCGAGCCAGCCAUGAUCUAGUCGCUAGAAGUUUGUUGCGCGUUUCUUUGUGCUAUAGUGGUAGUUACAGCAGCCAAAAGUAUAAGAAACGCCCUUUUACCCAAUAUUCUUUUCAAAUUUCAUUAAAACUAAGUAAGAAAUUACUUAUAUUAUGGCUAAAAAGAAGGUAUUAUACUGCAAGUAAAAUAAAAAAACAUCACUAAUUACAAUUCAGCUAGGUAUACAUUUCUAACUCAGUCAUAACUUCUGAUUUUCUUUAACUGUAAUACAACCCGUCCUUUCAUAAGUUAGCAAACAUUUCCAAUCCACUCAUAUUAAUGGUGUCCCUGACUAUAACCAUGUGUUUGUAAAGGCACAAUCUGAAUAAAUGUCAAAGCUCAAAGUCAGAGAUUACAAAAACAUUACGUUUUACUAUUAAUAGUAAGUGUGCUGCUGCACGUACCACCCACUGUCUGCCUCAAGGAACCAAUUAAUUAAAAUGUAGCAGCAUGCAUCAUGUGAGAGCAGUGCUCAUUGAAUAAAUGUUUUUGGGUUGUCCGUCCGUCCCAUGUUAUGUUAACGCGAUAUCUCAGGAACGCCUUGAUGGAACUUCUUUAAAUUUGAAUGAAUUUCAAUUUGAAAAAGGUUAAAGGUCAAGGUCACUGUUACCUCACAAAACAGAAUACAUACGCUCAUUAUGACAACUUCACACAAUUGUCUAAUGGGAUAAAAUUAUGAAGAAAUUACAUGUUGGACAGACAUGGAUGUAAACUGCAAUGUUACUGGGUGCAUACAACAGCGAGGCGGUAAUUAUUGUUAAAAUCGUACGUUAUACGUUAUAUGUAGCCUAUAGCCAAAUUCAUACUUUCAGAAAAGGCAGUCUCACCCAAAUUAUAUUUUGAUAUCUAGCUAUAACGAUAAACAGUACCAUUUUCUUGCAUUUGUACUUCACACAAGUACUUCAUUUAUUUGAUAGGUAUUUUAAAGAUUAGAUUUUCAUCCCCAGAACAUAAUAACCUUAUAAACUAUGUUGCUCUGUUGCAGAUUAAACUAUCUGACAGUACAUACAGUAUUUAGAUAUAGCUCCUCUUUCACCAGCUGAAACAGUAAAAUGUUGCCUAUGUCCUACAAACUGAUAUUUUGUCAGUGUUAUUGGCCUUGGUAUAUGAUAGAGGUUGCAUUUCUAUUGUGAAAUGUGCCAUAUAUAUAUUUUUAAUAUUGAUGUAUUCGUAAUAAAUCACGAUCAUAACAGCAUAA